UGACAAUGACAAUGUUGUGUUGACAAUACCAUACAAUUCAUCAACAGAACUGUGACGUCUGGGACUUGAUUGUGACCCUAUUACACCCAAUCUACCAUUUACGCUACUAUCUUUUAUAGUUAUAGUUUUUUAAAAGAUGGUUUUUACAUUUUUCUUCAAAGAAAUUCAAGUAAAGCAGAGAGAGAGAAGACUGCACGGACCCCCACGGACUUCACAGUUCACUCCGUUGCUUUUAAAUUGUUGAGCACAUUGGGUCAUUGGUUGAGCAAUUUUGGAGCGAAAUACACACAUCACCAGGAAGUUGAUAUCUGUGGAGGAGGAAUUGCGAAGACAACAACAAACAGUGUCGGCAGCAUUUUCACGUAUGUCUAAACUAUAAGCUCUAGCAGUAUUAAAAAUUAUAUUUCAACGUACUCCAAAAAUACCUAGAGUUUUAAUUUUUUCAUUGGAAAAUGUGGCAAGUUUGAAUGAACUUGUUCUGAUGAGUUAGAGCGAAGGCACACAUACACCUUGUCAAUUCCCAAUAUCAUUCUUGACUAUAAUUCCUCAAUUAACAGCCCUGAAAAAAAUUGAAACGGGUGGUAUGUGGAUUACUAUAGCUGUAUAUCUGAGGCUAUCGUUAAUGCUAAAUUAAAUUAACAGUACACCACACAGCCAAAUAAUAACAAUGAUGUUUCUACAUUGUUACAAAAUAUUGCUGAUAUUGGUGAACUUAAAAGUUCGUCCUGUUUGAAAUUAUUAUUAAGAUUAAUUUUAAAUAUACCUAUAACAUUUAAUUUUCUUAUUUUUUAAUAUUUUUCAUAAU